AGAGUUUGAUCCUGGCUCAGAACGAACGUUGGCGGCGUGCUUAACACAUGCAAGUCGAACGAGAAAGUUUUCUUCGGAGAACGAGUAAAGUGGCGCACGGGUGAGUAACGCGUAAGUAAUCUACCCUUACAUUUGGGAUAACUACGGGAAGCUGUAGCUAAUACCGAAUACGUUCAUAGAGUUACGACUCUAUGAAGAAAGAUGACCUCUUCUUGAAAGUUAUCGUGCAGGGAGGAGCUUGCGUACCAUUAGCUAGUUGGUAGGGUAACGGCCUACCAAGGCGACGAUGGUUAGCGGGUCUGAGAGGAUGAUCCGCCACACUGGAACUGAAACACGGACCAGACUCCUACGGGAGGCAGCAGUGAGGAAUAUUGCGCAAUGGGGGAAACCCUGACGCAGCGACGCCGCGUGGAUGAUGAAGGCCUUAGGGUCGUAAAAUCCUGUCAGAUGGGAAGAAAUGUAUGUAGGAAUAAUACCCUAUGUGCUUGACGGUACCAUCAAAG
rnacentral:rRNA from 1 species